GUUCCUCACAAACUUAACGCUCUUGUCCUGAAUCAAAUCAGCCACAGCCUGGCACAGAAAAUCAAGAACAUCCUUCACGUUCAGGUAAUUAGCAGCGAGGAGCAACUCCUUCAACUGAUCCUGGUCCAACUCCUUCAGGAAUUGUUCAUCUAACUUUUUUGCCGAGUCCUUGCCGUCGUUGGUUGAUGGCUAAGUCAAGUCUGGGUGCAUACCGCUUAGCACACUUGUUACACCGCUAAGCUACUUAUUCAACAGCUUUGACCGUGUUGACUGGUACAUGGCCUAGUGCUUGCUGAUCUAGGCAGGAGUGUGGUUCUCCACUGAGCUGCUUGGUUGCACCGGUAAGUUGCUUGUUGAGCAGCUUGGGCGUGUGCCAAGCUCGUGCCUGACCAUUUCUAGCUUGAGUUCUGACCGUGUCAGGAUUAGUCUGGUGCUAGGUUGAGCGGCCAAGCAGGUCCGCUCAGCUGCUUGCUUGAGCAGCUUGGUCCAGGUCAGGAUGGUAUUCAGGUCAGCUUAGUGUGGCUUGGUCCACGCUCAGCUGCCUGCUUGGGCACCUUGAUUUUCACUUCUUUUUCUUUUUUUACCAUGAGUCUUUUUUUCUCUCUUCUUUCUUCUUUCUAAAUCCUACAAAAUACAUAAAAAAAGAAAUACACACACAUAUACAAGAUUGUGAUAUUUUAUACAAAAAAUAUUGUUUUAAGUUGGUUUUUUCUCAAUUAUGCUUAAGAUAAAUGCCAUAAAAGUGUAUGAAAUUUAGGUAUGUUUGGCACUUAUCAAACUCCCCCCAACUUAAAACUUUGUUUGUCCUCAAACAAAAGGUGAAAAUCAUCCGAGACCAAUUUGGCUAAAAAAAUUAUAAUGAUCAACAUGAUUUCAAAUGUAUAAGCAUCUCAAAAAUAAAUUUCAAUGAGAUUUUUAAUGAUUUGUGAAUUUGACACAUAAUGCUUCAAACAAGAAAUUAAUGCUUUGUUUAUAAAAAAUAUGUAACAAUUUACCUAAGCAAAUAUUUUUCUUAACCAAAAAGUGUUUCUUUGCACACAAGUUCAAAGUUGGAACUUUAGAAGGAUAAGUGUUUCACUCAAAUUUUCAAGCAUUUGUUUAUAGUAAUUUGAAUAUGUUCUUUGUCUCACCUAUUCUCUUAAAUUGCAUAAUUAAUCAAAGAUAACUAAGGUCUUCAUUUUGGUUGUAAUGAGGCUUGAUUUGGAUAAUGGUUUUUCUAAAUUUUCAAGGCUAAGUUUAAAAAGAGAACAUUUUUGAAAUUUUCUCAAUGAAAUACUUUACUCUUCUUUUUUUCAUUAUUUUUCCCAACCUCUUUAACUUUUUGAACCUUGGCUUCUAUUUUUCUCAAUCUCUUUUUGUUUCUUUUUUUUUAAUUUGUAAAGAUUGAGUUUUUCUUUUCUUUUGAGAAACAAAGUCCACCAAUUUCCCCCCAACUUAAUUCUUUCAAACUACUCUUUAAAAUUGUAAUGCUCUUUUAGAACAUUUUUUCAAUUCGGUUUCAUGGGAUAGUUUGAAAAAAAAUAUUUCAUUUGUUUGGCUCAAAGGGAUAUAAAUAGGAUAUAAAUAAAUAGUUCUUAAUUUACUUUAGUUAUAAAUAGCAAUAAAUAAUUAUUUUAUUUAAUAAGCAAUGGGUAUACAAUUAAACAAACAUUCUUCUUCUCAAUUAAACAACAAAAUAUAAUAAGGAUUAAUGAGAUGAAAGUAAUUAAAAUCAUAUUUACUACACUUUUAAGAUGAGAUUGUCAAUUUAUGUUUUCAAUAAAUAUUAAUAAUAAUAAUAUUAUAUAUACUAUAUAUAAAGCCAAAACUUGAAAUAAUUUUCCUGAUGGUCUAAUUUUCACUUCCUGUUUUGCCCUUAACAUUAUUUAAUUUUUACAAAAAAAACAUAUAAUCUUAAGCAACCACCACCAACACAUUAAUUAACCACAUAUCUCACCUUAAAUUAAACAUUAUCAUAAACGCACAAAAAAUAUAAUAUAAAGUACACCGAACACAACAAAUACAUUCUAAUUCUAAAAAAAAUGAAAUAUAUAAAAAUUGAAUAUGUAAUAUCAUGCAAUAUUCACUGGCAGAUACGAAGUGCCUGUACACACUAGUUAUUAUAAAUAUUUGAUUAGAUUAUUUAAAUUUUGUGAUCUUAACAUUAAUGUUUAAAAAUAAAGUAUCUCCUUGUAUUAGGAGAUAACUUGUCUUCUUAAAUUCAUUUAGUGUUUGACAUGUGUCUUAUUUUUUUCUAAUAUGUUUUAAAUUGAAAACUUCUUGAAAGAAUGAAAUGUCAAAUAUUGAGUGAAUUUAAAGAGAUAAAUUAUCUUCUAGUACGAGGAAAUAUAUUAUUCUCUUAAUAUUUUCAUCCUUUUAUAUAUAUAUAUAUAUAUAUAUAUAUAUGAUAUUAUUUGUUAUUUUUAUUUUUAAUGUAUGUUGGAUAUCCUUCCUUCCGGUCUUAGAUCCCUUACCGGAUAUCCUUCCUUCCGUCUUUAGAUCCCUACAGGAAUGACAGCUACUCGUAGGAUUCAUGUUAAAUCUAGACUUGCACCACAAGAAAUAACAAAAAAACAGAAUUGUUUUUGGCCUGGAUACAAGAGCCACCACUUGAACCAACUCAAGCUAAUUAAAAAACACAAAUUUGUAUAAACCAAACAUUGUAAAGCACGAUAUUAAGUUCCAAUUAUUUGCAACACCGCAUAGAAAGUCAUAAAAACUACAGAGAAAAUUAUAACCUAAGUGCCAAGAUUAAAGCCAUAAUUUUCAAUAAUUGCAACUCCUUUAACACAUUCACUUCAAUCAUUCUUCAUCCACGCCCUCAAAAGCCCAUGCACGGGUUCUACGAAUCUCCUUCUCUUCUGCAGUAGUAUAAUCAUUCACAACCCCAAAGAAGUUCCUCACAAACUUAACGCUCUUGUCCUGAAUCAAAUCAGCCACAGCCUGGCACAGAAAAUCAAGAACAUCCUUCACGUUCAGGUAAUUAGCAGCGAGGAGCAACUCCUUCAACUGAUCCUGGUCCAACUCCUUCAGGAAUUGUUCAUCUAACUUUUUUGCCGAGUCCUUGCCGUCGUUGGUGACGGCCUUGCCGUUGCGGUGGUAGUUGAGGUAGUCG
rnacentral:lncRNA from 1 species